rnacentral:tRNA from 1 species
GUAUUGGUGGUUAAGUGGUAGAAUUCCCACCUUCCAUGCUGGAGACCCAGGUUCAAUUUCCAGCCAAUGCA